GACGGAGGAUGCAAGCGUUAUCCGGAAUGAUUGGGCGUAAAGCGUCUGCAGGUGGCAGUUCAAGUCUGCUGUCAAAGACCGGGGCUUAACUUCGGAAAGGCAGUGGAAACUGAACAGCUAGAGUAUGGUAGGGGUAGAGGGAAUUCCCGGUGUAGCGGUGAAAUGCGUAGAGAUCGGGAAGAACAUCGGUGGCGAAAGCGCUCUACUGGACCGCAACUGACACUCAGGGACGAAAGCUAGGGGAGCGAAUGGG
rnacentral:rRNA from 1 species